CUAUAUAUAAAUCAUCUAGAAACCAACUAUAAACAUUACCUCAUACCUAUUUAUACCACAGCCUGAGAAGCUAUUUUAAGGCAGUCCACCCAAUGACCACAUACCUAUUUAUACCAGAGCUGAGAAUCUAUUUCAAUGCAGCCCCCUGGAUGAUCGCAUACCUAUUUAUAAAUCAGUCCCCGAGACUGACCAGACUGACCAGGCGGCUAUGCAUAUACCAGUCCUGAAGACUGACCACCCCCCAUACUGGACCUAACCCAGCCUCUGAUAACAUAUAUACACACCAGCCUCUGAGAAUGACCACCAAGGUUUCUGGUCGCUAUGGCACCGUUCCUUUAUAUGGCACUCGGGAUCUUCCAGAGCGAUACGAGAAAGGAAUCUUUUUUUGCGCUGUCCGAUGUUGGCGAGAUACAAUGUGGCAUUAUGUGUGUCCAAAACGGACGGUGUGACGCAAUCAACUACAACAGAAAUAAUCUCGUGUGUGAAUUGGUGGAGAAUACUGCUGUGGCAGUUCCUCAGACCUCCGGGUGGAAACACACAUCAGAAUUCGGUUUUAUUCCUAAGAAGUUGUGUGGUUUGGUAACAGUGUCCAGAUCGUUAUUGUGUGUACCACUGUCCAACAAAACCACUGUACUUAUCAAAAAUGGCAUGUAUUUUUUGUUUAUUAUUUUG